UGGGGAAUAUUGCACAAUGGGCGCAAGCCUGAUGCAGCCAUGCCGCGUGUAUGAAGAAGGCCUUCGGGUUGUAAAGUACUUUCAGCGGGGAGGAAGGGAGUAAAGUUAAUACCUUUGCUCAUUGACGUUACCCGCAGAAGAAGCACCGGCUAACUCCGUGCCAGCAGCCGCGGUAAUACGGAGGGUGCAAGCGUUAAUCGGAAUUACUGGGCGUAAAGCGCACGCAGGCGGUUUGUUAAGUCAGAUGUGAAAUCCCCGGGCUCAACCUGGGAACUGCAACGGAUACUGGCAAGCUUGAGUCUCGUAGAGGGGGGUAGAAUUCCAGGUGUAGCGGUGAAAUGCGUAGAGAUCUGGAGGAAUACCGGUGGCGAAGGCGGCCCCCUGGACGAAGACUGACGCUCAGGUGCGAAAGCGUGGGGAGCAAACAGG
rnacentral:rRNA from 1 species